CUGGCGGCGUGCCUAAUACAUGCAAGUCGAACGGUCUUUCUAUGGAAGCUUGCUUCCACUGAGAAGAUAGUGGCGAACGGGUGAGUAACACGUGGGUAACCUGCCCAUAAGAGGGGGGACAACAUCCGGAAACGGGUGCUAAUACCGCAUAGUUUUCUUGAUCGCAUGAUCGGGAAAGGAAAGACGGCCUUUGUGCUGUCGCUUAUGGAUGGACCCGCGGCGUAUUAGUUAGUUGGUGAGGUAACGGCUCACCAAGACGAUGAUACGUAGCCGACCUGAGAGGGUGAUCGGCCACAUUGGGACUGAGACACGGCCCAAACUCCUACGGGAGGCAGCAGUAGGGAAUCUUCCGCAAUGGACGAAAGUCUGACGGAGCAACGCCGCGUGAGUGAAGAAAAGGUUUUCGGAUCGUAAAACUCUGUUGUCAGAGAAGAACAAGUUGGAGAGUAACUGCUCCAGCCUUGACGGUAUCUGACCAGAAAGCCACGGCUAACUACGUGCCAGCAGCCGC
rnacentral:rRNA from 1 species